rnacentral:rRNA from 1 species
CACGGGAGUAAUCCUGGUGGCGAGUGGCGAACGGGUGAGUAAUAUAUCGGAACGAGCCCAGUCGUGGGGGAUAACGCAGCGAAAGCUGUGCUAAUACCGCAUACGAUCUAUGGAUGAAAGCGGGGGAUCGCAAGACCUCGCGCGAUUGGAGCGGCCGAUAUCAGAUUAGCUAGUUGGUGGGGUAAAGGCCCACCAAGGCGACGAUCUGUAGCUGGUCUGAGAGAACGACCAGCCACACUGGAACUGAGACACGGUCCAGACUCCUACGGGAGGCAGCAGUGGGGAAUUUUGGACAAUGGGCGCAAGCCUGAUCCAGCAAUGCCGCGUGCAGGACGAAGGCCUUCGGGUUGUAAACUGCUUUUGUACGGAGCGAAACGGCUUUCUCUAAUACAGGGGGCUAAUGACGGUACCGUAAGAAUAAGCACCGGCUAACUACGUGCCAGCAGCCGCGGUAAUACGUAGGGUGCGAGCGUUAAUCGGAAUUACUGGGCGUAAAGCGUGCGCAGGCGGUUUUGUAAGACAGAUGUGAAAUCCCCGGGCUCAACCUGGGACCUGCAUUUGUGUCUGCAAAGCUGGAGUGCGGCAGAGGGGGAUGGAAUUCCGCGUGUAGCAGUGAAAUGCGUAGAUAUGCGGAGGAACACCGAUGGCGAAGGCAAUCCCCUGGGCCUGCACUGACGCUCAUGCACGAAAGCGUGGGGAGCAAACAGGAUUAGAUACCCUGGUAGUCCACGCCCUAAACGAUGUCAACUGGUUGUUGGGUCUUUACUGACUCAGUAACGAAGCUAACGCGUGAAGUUGACCGCCUGGGG